rnacentral:rRNA from 1 species
UUCCAGACUCCUACGGGGGGCAGCAGUGAGGAAUAUUGGUCAAUGGGCGAGAGCCUGAACCAGCCAAGUCGCGUGAGGGAGUACUGCCCUAUGGGUUGUAAACCUCUUUUGUCGGGGAGCAAAAGCCGGACGUGUCCGGCUGUGAGAGUACCCGAAGAAAAAGCAUCGGCUAACUCCGUGCCAGCAGCCGCGGUAAUACGGAGGAUCCGAGCGUUAUCCGGAUUUAUUGGGUUUAAAGGGAGCGUAGGUGGAUUGUUAAGUCAGUUGUGAAAGUUUGCGGCUCAACCGUAAAAUUGCAGUUGAAACUGGCGUGCUCGAGUUGGAGAGAAGUAUGCGGAAUUCGUGGUGUAGCGGUGAAAUGCAUAGAUAUCACGAAGAACCCCGAUUGCGAAGGCAGCAUACCGGCUCCACACUGACGCUGAGGCACGAAAGCGUGGGUAUCGAACAGGAUUAGAUACCCCGGUA